GACGAACGCUGGCGGCGUGCUUAACACAUGCAAGUCGAACGGAAAGGCCCUGCUUUUGUGGGGUGCUCGAGUGGCGAACGGGUGAGUAACACGUGAGUAACCUGCCCUUGACUUUGGGAUAACUUCAGGAAACUGGGGCUAAUACCGGAUAGGAGCUCCUGCUGCAUGGUGGGGGUUGGAAAGUUUCGGCGGUUGGGGAUGGACUCGCGGCUUAUCAGCUUGUUGGUGGGGUAGUGGCUUACCAAGGCUUUGACGGGUAGCCGGCCUGAGAGGGUGACCGGCCACAUUGGGACUGGGAUACGGCCCAGACUCCUACGGGAGGCAGCAGUGGGGAAUAUGGCACAAUGGGCGGAGGCCUGAUGCAGCAACGCCCGUGCGGGAUGACGGCCUUCGGGUUGUAAACCGCUUUCGCCUGUGACGAAGCGUGAGUGACGGUAAUGGGUAAAGAAGCGCCGGCUAACUACGUG
rnacentral:rRNA from 1 species